AAACGACUGCUAAUACCGCAUAAUGUCUUCGGACCAAACGGGGCUUCGGCUCCGGCGCAAAGAGAGGCCCAAGUGAGAUUAGCUAGUUGGUAAGGUAACGGCUUACCAAGGCGACGAUCUCUAGCUGUUCUGAGAGGAAGAUCAGCCACACUGGGACUGAGACACGGCCCAGACUCCUACGGGAGGCAGCAGUGGGGAAUAUUGCACAAUGGGGGAAACCCUGAUGCAGCCAUGCCGCGUGUGUGAAGAAGGCCUUCGGGUUGUAAAGCACUUUCAGUUGUGAGGAAAAGUUAGUAGUUAAUACCUGCUAGCCGUGACGUUAACAACAGAAGAAGCACCGGCUAACUCCGUGCCAGCAGCCGCGGUAAUACGGAGGGUGCGAGCGUUAAUCGGAAUUACUGGGCGUAAAGCGCACGCAGGCGGUUUGUUAAGCUAGAUGUGAAAGCCCCGGGCUCAACCUGGGAUGGUCAUUUAGAACUGGCAGACUAGAGUCUUGGAGAGGGGAGUGGAAUUCCAGGUGUAGCGGUGAAAUGCGUAGAUAUCUGGAGGAACAUCAGUGGCGAAGGCGACUCCCUGGCCAAAGACUGACGCUCAUGUGCGAAAGUGUGGGUAGCGAACAGGAUUAGAUACCCUGGUAGUCCACACCGUAAACGCUGUCUACUAGCUGUGUGUGUCUUUAAGACGUGCGUAGCGAAGCUAACGCGCUAAGUAGACCGCCUGGGGGAGUACGGCCGCCA
rnacentral:rRNA from 1 species